GUGCUCACUUCUGCAGCACAUACACUAAAACUGGAACAAUACACAGAAGAUUAGCAUGGCCCCCUGUGCAAGGAUGACACACAAAUUCAUGGUGUUCUAUAUUUAA
ensembl:snRNA U6 U6 spliceosomal RNA